AUUUAUUUCAGUUUCUAUCCACUGAUUCAAUCACACAGCAGCCACCCAAACACAAGGAUCCACAGGUCAAGCGCGAGAGUAAGAACUACACAAGGAGUUAGAGUACCUUAGCAAAACUUUGCUAUCAGGUUGAGCUGUGAUGGGCGAUGAAGUGUUGUUGCUGAGUAGAGUUUUUGUCGAACUUAAAGUAGGCUCAGAAAGGAUACAUGUCUUCAUACAUGUAUCUCAGUUAUGCAUUCCGCUGUAAACACUGAUUAUUUCAGUUACACCUUCCGUUGCAAACUCUGAUAAUGUUUUAGCCAAGCCCCUAACGAUGCCUUUUUCCUUUUAAGGAAUAUAAUGCGUAUACAAGUUC